UACCAGACUCCUACGGGAGGCAGCAGUGGGGAAUAUUGCACAAUGGGGGAAACCCUGAUGCAGCGACGCCGCGUGAGUGAGGAAGUAUUUCGGUAUGUAAAGCUCUAUCAGCAGGGAAGAAAAAAUGACGGUACCUGACUAAGAAGCACCGGCUAAAUACGUGCCAGCAGCCGCGGUAAUACGUAUGGUGCAAGCGUUAUCCGGAUUUACUGGGUGUAAAGGGAGCGCAGGCGGUACGGCAAGUCUGAUGUGAAAGCCCGGGGCUCAACCCCGGUACUGCAUUGGAAACUACCGGACUGGAGUGCAGGAGAGGUAAGCGGAAUUCCUGGUGUAGCGGUGAAAUGCGUAGAUAUCAGGAGGAACACCAGUGGCGAAGGCGGCUUACUGGACUGUAACUGACGUUGAGGCACGAAAGCGUGGGUAUCGAACAGGAUUAGAUACCCUUGUA
rnacentral:rRNA from 1 species